AGAGUUUGAUCCUGGCUCAGAGCGAACGCUGGCGGCAGGCCUAAUACAUGCAAGUCGAGCGCCCUUUCGGGGGAGCGGCGGACGGGUGAGUAACGCGUGGGAACGUGCCCUAUGGUGCGGAACAACUGAGGGAAACUUCAGCUAAUACCGCAUGAGCGCUACGGCGGAAAGAUUUAUCGCCAUAGGAGCGGCCCGCGUUGGAUUAGCUAGUUGGUGGGGUAAUGGCUCACCAAGGCUACGAUCCAUAGCUGGUCUGAGAGGAUGAUCAGCCACACUGGGACUGAGACACGGCCCAGACUCCUACGGGAGGCAGCAGUAGGGAAUCUUGCGCAAUGGGCGAAAGCCUGACGCAGCCAUGCCGCGUGAAUGAUGAAGGUCUUAGGAUUGUAAAAUUCUUUCACCGGGGACGAUAAUGACGGUACCCGGAGAAGAAGCUCCGGCUAACUUCGUGCCAGCAGCCGCGGUAAUACGAAGGGGGCUAGCGUUGCUCGGAAUUACUG
rnacentral:rRNA from 1 species